rnacentral:rRNA from 1 species
GAUGAACGCUGGCGGCGUGCUUAACACAUGCAAGUCGAACGAAGCACUUUAUUUGAUUUCCUUCGGGACUGAUUAUUUUGUGACUGAGUGGCGGACGGGUGAGUAACGCGUGGGUAACCUGCCUUGUACAGGGGGAUAACAGUUGGAAACGGCUGCUAAUACCGCAUAAGCGCACGGCAUCGCAUGAUGCAGUGUGAAAAACUCCGGUGGUAUAAGAUGGACCCGCGUUGGAUUAGCUAGUUGGUGAGGUAACGGCCCACCAAGGCGACGAUCCAUAGCCGACCGGAGAGGGUGACCGGCCACAUUGGGACUGAGACACGGCCCAAACUCCUACGGGAGGGAGCAGUGGGGAAUAUUGCACAAUGGGCGAAAGCCUGAUGCAGCGACGCCGCGUGAGCGAAGAAGUAUUUCGGUAUGUAAAGCUCUAUCAGCAGGGAAGAUAAUGACGGUACCUGACUAAGAAGCACCGGCUAAAUACGUG